UUCCCUCCUCCUUUCCCUCCCUUCUCCUUUUCCUUCCUUCCCCUCCUUUCUUCUUUCCUUCCCUCAUUUUCUCCUCCUCCUUCUGCUCCUCCUUCUCCUUCACUCAUUGAGCUUCUUAGAUACUAUACUAAACCCAAGAUCCUUGAGUUUAUAGUAUCACUGUAUUUGGAAAAAUUUGGGCCAUUACUCAAUCAAGUUGUUUUCUGUCCCUCAGAGCAUUAAGGGUGAUCGACACAUGUUGCAAAAAAUAAAAAUACUGCUAGUUAUUCUAAAGAUUAAAUGGAGGAUAACAAGUAGCAUAUUAUUUGCCUUUUAAAAGGAAUCCCAAUUAAAAAGUCAGUUUUAGUUUC
rnacentral:lncRNA from 1 species